rnacentral:rRNA from 1 species
UUGUUGGUAAGGUAAAAGCUUACCAAGGCUUCGAUCAGUAGCUGGUCUGAGAGGACGACCAGCCACACUGGGACUGAGACACGGCCCAGACUCCUACGGGAGGCAGCAGUGGGGAAUUUUGGACAAUGGGGGCAACCCUGAUCCAGCCAUGCCGCGUGAGUGAAGAAGGCCUUCGGGUUGUAAAGCUCUUUCAGCCGGAACGAAACGGUUACGGUUAACACCCGUGACUACUGACGGUACCGGAAGAAGAAGCACCGGCUAACUACGUGCCAGCAGCCGCGGUAAUACGUAGGGUGCGAGCGUUAAUCGGAAUUACUGGGCGUAAAGCGUGCGCAGGUGGUUUUGUAAGUCAGAUGUGAAAGCCCCGGGCUCAACCUGGGAACUGCGUUUGAAACUACAAGACUAGAGUGUGGCAGAGGGGGGUGGAAUUCCGCGUGUAGCAGUGAAAUGCGUAGAGAUGUGGAGGAACACCGAUGGCGAAGGCAGCCCUCUGGGUCAACACUGACGCUCAGGCACGAAAGCAUGGGGAGCAAACAGGAUUAGAUACCCUGGUAGUCCAUGCCCUAAACGAUGUCAACUAGUUGUCGGGCCUUUACGGGCUUGGUAACGUAGCUAACGCGUGAAGUUGACCGCCUGGGGAGUACGAUCGCAAGAUUAAAACUCAAAUGAAUUGACGGGGACCCGCACAAGCGGUGGAUUAUGUGGAUUAAUUCGAUGCAACGCGAAAAACCUUACCUACCCUUGACAUGUAUCGAAGCCCGCAGAAAAGCGGGGGUGCCCGAAAGGGAACGAUAACACAGGUGCUGCAUGGCUGUCGUCAGCUCGUGUCGUGAGAUGUUGGGUUAAGUCCCGCAACGAGCGCAACCCUUGUCAUUAAUUGCCAUCAUUUAGUUGGGCACUUUAAUGAGACUGCCGG